rnacentral:rRNA from 1 species
AUUCCCAUCUAGUGGCAGACGGGUGAGUAACGCGUGAGUAACCUGCCUUGGAGUGGGGAAUAACACAGUGAAAACUGUGCUAAUACCGCAUGACAUAUUGGUGUCGCAUGGCACUGAUAUCAAAGAUUUAUCGCUCUGAGAUGGACUCGCGUCUGAUUAGAUAGUUGGCGGGGUAACGGCCCACCAAGUCGACGAUCAGUAGCCGGACUGAGAGGUUGGCCGGCCACAUUGGGACUGAGACACGGCCCAGACUCC